GAAAGGAACGCUAAUACCGCAUACGUCCUACGGGAGAAAGCGGGGGAUCUUCGGACCUCGCGCUAUCGGAUGAGCCUAGGUCGGAUUAGCUAGUUGGUGAGGUAAAGGCUCACCAAGGCGACGAUCCGUAGCUGGUCUGAGAGGAUGAUCAGCCACACUGGAACUGAGACACGGUCCAGACUCCUACGGGAGGCAGCAGUGGGGAAUAUUGGACAAUGGGCGAAAGCCUGAUCCAGCCAUGCCGCGUGUGUGAAGAAGGUCUUCGGAUUGUAAAGCACUUUAAGUUGGGAGGAAGGGUUGUAACCUAAUACGUUGCAACUUUGACGUUACCGACAGAAUAAGCACCGGCUAACUUCGUGCCAGCAGCCGCGGUAAUACGAAGGGUGCAAGCGUUAAUCGGAAUUACUGGGCGUAAAGCGCGCGUAGGUGGUUUGAUAAGUUGGAUGUGAAAGCCCCGGGCUCAACCUGGGAAUUGCAUCCAAAACUGUCUGACUAGAGUACGGUAGAGGGUAGUGGAAUUUCCUGUGUAGCGGUGAAAUGCGUAGAUAUAGGAAGGAACACCAGUGGCGAAGGCGACUACCUGGA
rnacentral:rRNA from 1 species